GUGAGGAAUCUUCCACAAUGGGCGAAAGCCUGAUGGAGCAACGCCGCGUGAAGGAUGAAGGUCUUCGGAUUGUAAACUUCUUUUAUGAGUGAAGAAUAUGACGGUAACUCAUGAAUAAGCACCGGCUAACUACGUGCCAGCAGCUGCGGUCAUACGUAGGGUGCAAGCAUUAUCCGGAGUGACUGGGCGUAAAGAGUUGCGUAGGCGGUUAUGUAAGCGAAUAGUGAAACCUGGUGGCUCAACCACACAGACUAUUAUUCGAACUGCAUAACUAGAGAAUGGUAGAGGUAACUGGAAUUUCUUGUGUAGGAGUGAAAUCCGUAGAUAUAAGAAGGAACACCAAUGGCGUAGGCAGGUUACUAGGCCAUUUCUGACGCUAAGGCACGAAAGCGUGGGGAGCGAACCGGAUUAGAAACCCCUGUAGUCC
rnacentral:rRNA from 1 species